rnacentral:rRNA from 1 species
UAGGGAAUCUUCCACAAUGGACGCAAGUCUGAUGGAGCAACGCCGCGUGAGUGAAGAAGGUCUUCGGAUCGUAAAACUACUGUUGUUAGAGAAGAACACGAGUGAGAGUAACUGUUCAUUCGAUGACGGUAUCUAACCAGCAAGUCACGGCUAACUACGUGCCA